AUUGAACGCUGGCGGCAGGCUUAACACAUGCAAGUCGAACGAGUGGCGGACGGGUGAGUAAUGCCUGGGAAUCUAGCUUAUGGAGGGGAUUAACUCCGGGAACCUUUGGCUAUACCCGCGUACAUUAGAAUGGGCCCAAGUGGGAUUAGGUAGUUGGUGAGGUAAAGGCUCACCAAGCCGACGAUCUCUAGCUGGUCUGAGAGGAUGACCAGCCACACUGGGACUGAGACACGGCCCAGACUCCUACGGGAGGCAGCAGUGGGGAAUAUUGCGCAAUGGGGGCAACCUGACGCAGCCAUGCCGCGUGAAUGAAGAAGGCCUUCGGGUUGUAAAGUUCUUUCGGUAGCGAGGCGUUAACUACAGAAGAAGCACCGGCUAACUCCGUGCCAGCAGCCGCGGUAAUAC
rnacentral:rRNA from 1 species